rnacentral:rRNA from 1 species
UACAGAGGGUGCGAGCGUUAAUCGGAAUUACUGGGCGUAAAGCGUGCGUAGACGGUUAUUUAAGUCGGGCGUGAAAGCCCCGGGCUCAACCUGGGAAUUGCAUUCGAGACUGAAUAGCUAGGGUACGGUAGAGGGAAGUGGAAUUUCCGGUGUAGCGGUGAAAUGCGUAGAUAUCGGAAGGAACAUCAGUGGCGAAAGCGACUUCCUGGACCAGUACCGACUUUCAGGCACGAAAGCGUGGGGAGCAAACAGG